rnacentral:misc_RNA from 1 species
CCAUAACUUAUCACCAAGCUUCGCAUUUGUUGUCAAAGGUGCUGCAGCUUUAUUAGAAACGGUCUUUGACUUCACAAGUGGUUGCUUAUUGCUCUUCCCCAUUCCAUUAGCAAGCAGCCAACGAGACCCAGACUGUUGCUGAGAGGUGGUACCCCAAAGCUUCUUCUUGCCGGGCUCAGUCUUGAGACCAGCAACUUGUAUUUCAGUGAUGCAGAACUGAGGAAUUCCUUUCUUUUCAGAUGCCUUUUCCUCAAUUUUCUCCUCCUUCGCCUUUUCCUUCACCAAUAAUUCUGACUCAUCAUCAUCCUCGUUGUCAUUUCUUACCUCCGAAACCUUACAGUAUAUUUUUGGUUUUGGUGGAACAAACACUCUCUCUACUUGAAUGAGCGCAAGCAUUGGUGUGCCAACUGGUUCAUAGUUUCUCAGAGGAUCACGAAGCUGCACCAUCAAUGCAACAGUGAAGUUAUUCCCCAGUAAACCGCACUUUCUACCAGAUCCUUUGCCACGCCUUCUCUCUCCUUUUGACCCCCCACGAAUCAAGUCCAAGGAGCUGGC